rnacentral:rRNA from 1 species
AGAGUUUGAUCCUGGCUCAGGACGAACGCUGGCGGCACGCUUAACACAUGCAAGUCGAACGAGAGAAGAGGAGCUUGCUUUUCUGAUCUAGUGGCGGACGGGUGAGUAACACGUGAGCAAUCUGCCUUUCAGAGGGGGAUACCGAUUGGAAACGAUCGUUAAUACCGCAUAACAUAAUUGAACCGCAUGAUUUGAUUAUCAAAGAUUUAUCGCUGAAAGAUGAGCUCGCGUCUGAUUAGCUAGUUGGUAAGGUAACGGCUUACCAAGGCGACAAUCAGUAGCCGGACUGAGAGGUUGAUCGGCCACAUUGGGACUGAGACACGGCCCAGACUCCUACGGGAGGCAGCAGUGGGGAAUAUUGCACAAUGGAGGAAACUCUGAUGCAGCGAUGCCGCGUGAGGGAAGAUGGUUUUAGGAUUGUAAACCUCUGUCUUCAGGGACGAAAAAAGACGGUACCUGAGGAGGAAGCUCCGGCUAACUACGUGCCAGCAGCCGCGGUAAUACGUAGGGAGCGAGCGUUGUCCGGAAUUACUGGGUGUAAAGGGAGCGUAGGCGGGAUCGCAAGUCAGAUGUGAAAACUAUGGGCUAAACCCAUAAACUGCAUUUGAAACUGUGGUUCUUGAGUGAAGUAGAGGUAAGCGGAAUUCCUAGUGUAGCGGUGAAAUGCGUAGAUAUUAGGAGGAACAUCAGUGGCGAAGGCGGCUUACUGGGCUUUAACUGACGCUGAGGCUCGAAAGCGUGGGGAGCAAACAGGAUUAGAUACCCUGGUAGUCCACGCCGUAAACGAUGAUUACUAGGUGUGGGGGGACUGACCCCUUCCGUGCCGCAGCAAACGCAAUAAGUAAUCCACCUGGGGAGUACGACCGCAAGGUUGAAACUCAAAGGAAUUGACGGGGGCCCGCACAAGCAGUGGAGUAUGUGGAUUAAUUCGAAGCAACGCGAAGAACCUUACCAGGUCUUGACAUCGUAUGCAUAGCUCAGAGAUGAGUGAAAUCUCUUCGGAGACAUAUAGACAGGUGGUGCAUGGUUGUCGUCAGCUCGUGUCGUGAGAUGUUGGGUUAAGUCCCGCAACGAGCGCAACCCUUACUGUUAGUUGCUACGCAAGAGCACUCUAGCAGGACUGCCGUUGACAAAACGGAGGAAGGUGGGGAUGACGUCAAAUCAUCAUGCCCCUUAUGACCUGGGCCUCACACGUACUACAAUGGCUGUCAACAGAGGGAAGCAAAGCCGCGAGGUGGAGCGAACCCCUAAAAGCAGUCUUAGUUCGGAUUGUAGGCUGCAACCCGCCUACAUGAAGUCGGAAUUGCUAGUAAUCGCAGAUCAGCAUGCUGCGGUGAAUACGUUCCCGGGCCUUGUACACACCGCCCGUCACGCCAUGGGAGUCGGUAACACCCGAAGCCUGUAGUCUAACCGCAGGGAGGACGCAGUCGAAGGUGGGAUUGAUGACUGGGGUGAAGUCGGAACAAGGUA